UCAUGAGUCACCCAAACGUUGCCUGAAGGCUAGUGAGGAGGCCCAGAGGGAAGCAGAGGAAUCCAUGGGAGGCAAGCAGUGGUAAAGAAGAAAGGCAGCACCUCUCGUACUUUCAACAUAAAGACGACGAGGAUAAAGGCAUUUAUGAUGAACUACUUCCACAUAAUGAAUAAUUGAACAAAGGAGAGAAUUGUGAGAGUGAGAAAAAGUGAGACAAAGAAGAAAAACUAUAAAUCAGCAAAAUACAGUGCCAAGAGCUCUGGACCACAAAUCAGAAGACCUGAGCCCUAAUUCCUUUCCAGUCAUUGGAUUUGUUCGUCGCUUGCCAAAAUAGCAGCGAACUCUCUGUCAAACUGCAACUCAUUUUAUCGGAGCAAAAACUGAACAAAGAACUGCUAUCAUUUCUGAGAAUUGAAAAGUACUUUCACAGUUUGUGCAUUACCAAUUCCA
rnacentral:lncRNA from 1 species